CCUAAUUUCACUAUUAUGUUUUUUUUUUUUUUUUUUUUUUUUUUUUUUUUUUUGUCUGAUUUUAGUGAAAAAACGCCUUAAAUUAACAGUCUAAAAUGGGGAAAAGGAGGAAGAAACACUACAGUCAAUAUUGUUGUCGGCAUAGGGUGGCAUUCAAGUUCAGUGUGGCUGAACAUCCAGUAUGAUCUGACAUGCAUAUUCUUGGCCUGGCCAGUUAAAGUCUCCCCCACAGAAAAAAAGGGUGAAGGAACAGAUCUUCUAUGAUCUGAGCUCAUCACUCCAUUUGCCAGGGUCUCUAGCUUCAGUAGUAAAAGUUGCAUUUUAAUUUCUAAUAUAGAUUUACAUAAAUCAGUACUGUAGCACAUAGAGAAGACACAGAGUGUAAAGUCAUAGAAUAUCCCGAGUUGGAAGGGAUCAUCAAGUCCAAC